UGUUUAACAAAAACAUCGCCUCUUGCAACCAAUAAGAGGUCCAGCCUGCCCAGUGACUCUGUUCAACGGCCGCGGUAUCCUAACCGUGCAAAGGUAGCGCAAUCAUUUGUCCUUUAAAUAAGGACUAGUAUGAACGGCACCACGAAAGCUAUACUGUCUCCUUCCCCUAAUCAGUGAAACUAAUCUUCCCGUGAAGAAGCGGGGAUAAUUUUAUAAGACGAGAAGACCCUAUGGAGCUUUAAACACACAACAACUGUCACGGACCAACCCUCUCCCCCGGGAAAAACAACCCACCCGAACAUUUUGAUUGCAAGUUUUAGGUUGGGGUGACCGCGGAGCAAAAAAUAACCUCCACAGUGAAUGGGAUUUUUCCCUUAAACUCAGGGCCACAGCCCCAAGGAUCAAUAAAUUGACACCCAUUGACCCAAUACUUUUGACCAACGAACCAAGUUACCCUAGGGAUAACAGCGCAAUCCACUUCAAGAGCCCCUAUCGACAAGUGGGUUUACGACCUCGAUGUUGGAUCAGGGCACCCCAGUAGUGCAGCCGCUGCUAAAGGUUCGUUUGUUCAACGACUAAAGCCCUACGUGAUCUGAGUUCAGA
rnacentral:rRNA from 1 species